GAUGAUUCAUGGUGCACGAAGAUUUUUUGAGCAAGAUACUAAGGUUAAGAAGAAGUGGUAUACAAGGGAUCGUACAAAGAGGGUGGUGUACAACUGCAACUUUGAUCUGUAUAGUCCAACAGCAGCUAACUGGAGGGAUACAACUUAUUCCGUCAUGGCUCCUAAUCCUCCAGCUCCAGAGGAAUUGCCAGAUGUUUGCAGGUAUUUUUGUGGCUGAACUCUUUCUGCUUCAAAUGCAGCUAUUUUGUAUAAAUUAUAAAUUUUUUAGCUGUAGCAAGAAACUUAGUGAAUGAAAAAAAAAAAAAAAACCCAGCCACCCAUUUGGUGAGGGGGGUAUCAGACUUAUUAAUGUUACCUAUUCUUGAUGUACCUAAGUUCUUUGUCCUGCAAAAAUGUCAAUCUUAUUCGACAUUUCAUAAAUUUUUCUGCAGCGAAAUAUUGAUAGACUACUCGAAGCAAGUGAUGAACUUGGGUUGCUUAUUGCUUGAGUUACUGUCAGAGGGUCUUGGACUCGAUCCAAGCUACCUCGAAGGCAUUGAUUGCGGAGAGGGGCUUAGUGUCCUAUGCCAUUACUAUCCGGCAUGCCCCCAACCAGAACUUACCUUUGGCAGCAGCCCGCAUUCAGACAAUGACUUCUUCACAAUCCUUCUCCAAGACAAUUUAGGUGGCCUCCAAGUACUUCAUCAGAAUCAGUGGGUUGAUGUUCCUCCAACACCUGGAGCUUUAGUAACCAACAUUGGAGAUCUUCUACAGGCAAGCCUUUGAUUUAUUGAUUUUCCAACACUUUUGGAAUGCAUAAACAAUCUUUGUUAUCUGGAGAUUUUCUGGAGGUUGUUUUGAAGUAUUUUUGGUUUUGAUUUCAUUUGGCUUAUUAAAUUUCAGAUUAUAUCAAAUGACAAAUACAAAAGCAGUGAACAUAGAGUUCUGGCAAAACGUGUUGGUCCUAGGGUGUCAAUCGCGAGCUUCUUCACACCUGAUGUAAGGGCAACUGGAAAGCUUUAUGGACCUAUCAAGGAGUUGUUAUCAGAAGAAAAUCCGCCAAAGUACCGCGAAACCACAGCAAAGGAAUAUACAGAUUACUUCCGUGCCAAAGGGCUUGAUGGAACUUCUGCUCUGUUGCAUUUCAAGCUCUAAGCUUGCAAACAGAGUAGUAAAGACUAGCCUGUAAAUCUGUAAUAAAAACAACUAUUCAGGAGGCCAUAACUCAUAUUUGGAGUUUAUAUGCUCCUGUUGAAUGUAUUGCAUGCUUUCCAAAAUGUGAAGGAUUCUGUCAAACUACAUUUUGAUUUGUGUAAACCGUGUGCAUUAGUAUCCGGGAGAUGUUUUUGAGCUAAAAAGUCACUGAGCUGAAUUUGAUAUGGCCAGGCAUUAUGGUGUUUAAUGAUUGGCAUAUCAUUUCUCGGAAUUGUCCAUGUCUCAACUGAAACUGUCUCAACUGAAAAAUUUUUCUUUCUCAAAGAAAAACACAGACAUACCAAUAUUGUGUGGCUAAAAUCCUUCAAGAUGGCAUUUACAUUAUGUAUAUGCUGCAUUAGUUGGACAAAUCCUAGAGACGGGAUGAUUAUGACUUUUCAAGUUACUUUCACAUAUUGCUUUCUUAAUCAUCCUGUCUAAACUUCUAACUUUUUUUAAAUCAGAUCCUUACUCUUACCACCAAAAAAAAAAAAAAAAUUAAAGUCUUGUUGCUUUCUGCUUUUAAGCACCUAAAAGUGGAGCUAUUUCAAAAUUUGACCACUUGAAUAAUUGAGUUUAGUUGAUAUAUUUUACUGUAUGUUUUUUUUUUCAACAAACGAUAUAUUUUACUAAAUGUGUGUAUGUAAAUGUGUACUUUUCUGAUGUCUCACAGUCAAUAAUAUCCAUUUCGUAGAAGUAAAGGGGAAAGGAGGGAAAAAAAAGACAAAAUUUGAAAAUUUUUUCUAUUCAAAAUCAUAAAAAUCAUAGCAAAGAUCAUGUCAAAAAAGAUGAUUAGUCCGUUUUACUGAAUCUUGUGAUCAUUAGUAUAGUUUUGUUGCUUUUCUAUGUUAUCUAAUUUAUUGAAUGUGAACUUCUUGAGUGGCAAAAUGUGUGUAUUAAUUAUUUCUAACUUUUAAUUAUUUUUAUUUUUUUACUAAUAUAACUUAUAUAAAUGCAUAAGGGGUAUUUAUGAAAUAAAAGUUUCAUAUCUCUGUUUAAAGUACUUUUUCUAAUUAGACUAAUUUUGUUAUCAAAACAUUAACUUUAGAGGAGGUUUGAGUAAUUUUACAAACUUUAGGGGAGGUUUAAAUAAUUUUACAGACUUUAGGGGAGAAUAGUGAAAUUGUUAGAAAACCUCAGAGGUGGUUUCUGAAAUUAUCCCUAUCUAUUUUGGUUGAACUUGUGGAUGCUAGGUUAACCAAUCAUCAAGCUAAUAUAAUAACAAGUCUCUCUCCUUAUAGUCCUCCACUUGUCCUUUAUGCUGGCAAUUUUCAAACUUUGUAUUUAGUGAUUCUAGGAUGUAUAUGCACUUAUUAUAUUAUGAAUCAAACUAUUUUAAGAUGUACAUACGUUGUGAUAAAUAUAUAUUCAUUCAUGAAUUUUAAAGUAGCAUGAAUAUAUUUAUGUAUGUGAAGAUCAUUAAAUGUAAGGAUAAAUUCAUAUGUUUUAUUAUAGAAACAUGUGAUGCAUGAAUUAAAGUACAUGAAUUUGUAUACAAUAUCUUGAAUCUAUUCAUACAAGUAUUUAUUAAAUUUAUUUAUUUCUUAAACAAUCUCUUCUAUAUAAAGAAAUCAAGUAGAGAGUGAUUUGCUGCAAAAAAUUAUUUUCCUACCACUAUGAAUUCUUUGAAAAGCACUUCUUAGUUCAAGAAAGUUUGUCUUAUUUUGUGCAAGAGUUUAAGACAAAUAAAGUUUAUCUUAUCCUAAAAAAUAUUUAUCAAGAUUUAUUGCACGUUAUAUCGAACAAAUAAAACUUAAAGAAAAGUGAUAUAUAAUCACGAUUUGAAGCCAAUUAUUAUUACUAUAUUUGCCAGUUCAUUGUAAUACUCCCAACACUUUAUUGCGAGCUUCUGAAAGUUUGAGAUACUCCAGCUACCUAGAACAGUUAGAAUAGAAAUAUGGUGGCUACCAGUAAAGGUGAAGUUGAUCAGGUUGCAGAAGUAGAACCACAUUAUGAUCGACAGAGUGAACUACAAGCAUUUGAUGAAACCAAGGCUGGUGUUAAAGGGCUUGUUGAUGCUGGCAUUACCAAGGUGCCUCGGAUAUUCAUUCAACCGCAAUGUAGCUUAGAUGACGGUCUCAAUGGCACCAAAGGAAUCUUCAAAUUUCCUGUCAUCGAUCUGGAUGGUAUUGAUACAGAUCCAGCCAGGCGCAAAGAGAUAGUUGACAAGGUUAGAGAUGCAUCAGAAACAUGGGGUUUCUUUAACGUGGUAAAUCAUGGAAUUCCUUUCAGUGUCCUGGAGGAGAUGAUUCAAGGCGCGCGUAGAUUUUUCGAGCAAGAUACUGAGGUUAAGAAACAGUGGUAUACAAGGGAUUAUACAAAAACAGUGGUGUACAACUGCAACUUUGAUUUACACAUUUCACCAGUAGCCAACUGGAGGGAUACAUGUUAUUGCUACAUGGCUCCUAAUCCUCCAGCUCCAGAAGAAUUGCCUGAUGCUUGCAGGUAGAUUUCUCAGGGAUCUUCUUUUCUUUGCCUUGUAUGACAAGUGUGGUCUGAAAAUUACUAGAAUAAGGGCCAGUGGCCACUAUUCUGGUGAUUAGAUGGUAGUAUUAAUUGACAAUGAAUCUUUAAGACAUAUCUAAUUUCUAGUUAUGAAGUGGAAAAAGAUUGAGCUGCUGGAAGUUAUAGUUAACUUAAAUCAACUCUUGUUCCUGUUAAACUAUAUCUGAUUACUCAUUUGAUGAAUUCGACUACAGUGAAAUCGUGAUAGAAUACUCAAAGCUAGUGAUGAAGUUAGGCUGCUUAUUGCUCGAAUUUCUGUCAGAGGGCCUUGGACUCAAUCUAAGCUACCUCAAAGACAUUGAUUGUGCAGAGGGGCUUGCUGUACUAUGCCAUUACUAUCCACCGUGUCCACAGCCAGAACUUACCUUAGGCACCAGCAAGCAUUCUGACAACGGCUUCAUCACAGUCCUCCUCCCAAGGCAAUUUAGGUGGAGUUCAAGUACUUCAUCAAAAUCAGUGGAUUGAUGUUCCUUCUACACCUGGAGCUUUAGUGAUCAACAUCGGAAAUCUUUUGCAGGCGAGCCUGUGAUUUAUUGAUUUCCUGUUUUGUACUGCUAUAUUCUUGAAAUAAGGUUGUAACAAACAAGUGCAUUAUGAUGUGGCCAGUUAUGACAUCAUUUCCAUUGUUUCGGUUGGUAAAUUUUUAGUCUUUGGUUGUGAAUUAUAUACUCAUAUCUAAUGACAAGUAAACCUAGAAUUUUGGCUAACAGAGUCAGUCCUAGAGUAUCAGUAGCAAGCUUUUUAGCUACCGGUCCAAGGCCAAUAACAAAGGUUUAUGGACCUAUCAAGGAGUUGUUAUCAGAUGACAAUCCACCUAAAUAUCGAGCAACAACAGUGAAGGAAUAUACAGAUUACUUCCGUGCCAAAGGGCUUGAUGGCACUAAUGCCCUUCUGCAUUUCAAGCUUUAAACAUGUGAACAAAACAACAAAGAUUAGCCCGUGAAUUUCUAAAGAAUGAGAUUAUGUCUAUAAUAAAGAUUGUCACUUCACAGAAACUGCCCACUUUGUGUGCUCUAGUAACUGGCAAAAUAAAUUGCUGUUUGAGUCAAAUAAAAAAGUUUCUAGUUUCCAAGAGUUUUUUGGAGUUUAUAUCAAGUUCAUAGUAUUGAGUUUCUUUCUCUCAACCGUACUUGUACUUGUCUGUUACCCUAUCCAGACACAUUUAAAAAAAAAAAAAAAAUUUACAGCAGGCUGGGAUUUAAGAAGCGGGGAGAGGAGCAGAGGAUUUGAACCCAGGAUUCUUUUUUCUAUUAAACCAUAGACAUCGUGAUCCUUAAAUCCGCAUCUGCUUUUUGACAUAUAAAUUGCAUUUUGUGUGCGCGGGGGGAUGCAUUGCUUUCAGGCCAUAUCAAUGACGAGUUUUCACUGUAGAGCAUAGUGUAAUGGCAAAUAACAUUGGUCGAAGAAUAUCAGCGGCAUGCUUUUUCUUUAACAUUGAUAUAUGGCCUUUUGCAAUAUUACAUGGACCGAUUGAGGACUUACUAACAGAAGAGAAUCCAAGAAAGCACAGGGCAACUACCAUGAAAGAUUAUGUGAUUUACUUCAACAACAAGAGACUUGAUGGAACUUCUGCGCUGUCGCAUUUCAGGCUUUAGACUAGAAAAAGGAUUCAGUAAUUAGUAAAUUAUAUGCAGCGUUUAUGUGCGCAAGAUUGUUAAAACUCUUUAGGCUUCUUUUUCAUCCUGAAAUAGUAAAUUUUGAAUGGGCAUGACCUUAUCAAAUUCGUUUCAGACAUCACUUUCCCUCCUCUCUUCAGAUUUUCUUGGUAUGCAGACUUCCUUUGGCUUUAUUUCACUUUGAUGUAUAAUAAAUUACUCUAUUCUAUCUAACUUGUAGCAGCUAUACAAUCUCUUCACGGCAACAUGCUAAAUCUCGGAAACAGCAUAAAAGAUUGUUUACUUGUGCAUUUUUACCUGCUCCCAUUAUUAAAUUUGUAGCUACUGCUACUUUAUGUGCAUGAUCUUUUCUCAUGAUCACGACAAAAGCCAAUAACUUCAAUGACGUGGUAGCCCCCAUUAGGCACAAAUAUGAGCCUGAGAAACUGAAACCUUGUUAAAAGUUGAAGAAACUUCCCAAAGCAAAGAAAAAUGGGGGCAACCAGCAAAGAUGAAGUUGCAGUUGAUGGUGCAGUGGAAUCUCAAUAUGAUCAAGAGAAGGAAAUACGAGCAUUUGAUGAAACCAAGGCCGGGGUUAAAGGGCUUGUUGAUGCCGGCAUUAACAAGUUGCCUCGAAUGUUCAUUCAUCGGGAAAGUGGCUCGGAGAAGAGUAUCAGUGCCUGGAAAGGAACUUUUAGCAUUUCAGUGAUUGAUCUGGAAGGUAUGGAUAAGGAUCCAGUAAGGCGCAAAGAGAUAGUUGACAAGGUUAGAGAUGCAUCUGAAAGAGGGGGUUUUUUCCAGGUGGUAAAUCAUGGAAUUCAAGUCAGUGUUCUGGAGGAGAUGAUACAAGGUGCACGAAGAUUUUUCGAGCAAGAUACUGAGGUUAAGAAGAAGUGGUAUACAAGGGAUCGUACAAAAAGGGUGGUGUACAACUGCAACUUUGAUCUGUAUAGUCCAACAGCAGCUAACUGGAGGGAUACAGCUUAUUGCUUCAUGGCUCCUAAUCCACCAGCUCCAGAGGAAUUGCCAGACGUUUGCAGGUAUUUUUUUGGCUGAACUCUUUUUUUUUUUCUUCAAAUGCAAAUAUUUUGUAUAAAUUAUAAAUUUUUUAGCUGUAACAAGAAACUUACCUAUUCUUGAUAUUUGGAAGAGCUUUAGUGAAAAUGAAUCCUUUGGUUUGAUUUACCAAAUCCAUGGGUUUAGUCAUUGGCACAAAAUUGAGCAUCUUAACUUUUUUUUUUUAACACCACCAUAAUGAUAAGUAGAAGGAAGAACAGUGGACUUUCUCUCGCAAUUGCAGUGAAUGCCAUUCAUAUCCAAGAUUUAGUCACAUCAGCUCAGUCCGAUUUGGGCUAAUCAUUUCAUUUUUUUUUUGAUUUAGAAAUAAAUGACGUAGAUGGGACCGAGCUUAUGUAGUGCGAUUGCACCUGCAAAAUUUGCCACCCCCUCCACCUAGGCUGCUGGUUUUAGGGAGUCCAAUAGUUGUAGCAGAGUAUUAACCACUAGGCUAUACUGCUUGUAGGUAAUUGCUUGUAUCCUAAUCACCUAGUUGAUAGCUGGUAUUAAAAGAUCUUUGAUUCUUUCUAUGGUUUUAAAUUUUGUGAUAAUGUCAAAAACGAAUUCUAAGGUAAUAAAUUCUAAUGUACCUACUAGUAAAUCUUAUUCGACAUUUCAUAAAUUUUUCUGCAGCAAAAUAUUGUUAGAGUACUCGAAGCAAGUGAUGAAUUUAGGUUGCUUAUUGCUUGAAUUGCUGUCAGAGGGUCUUGGACUCGAUCCAAGCUACCUAGAAGGCAUUGAUUGUGGAAAGGGGCUUGCUGUCCUAUGCCAUUACUAUCCGGCAUGCCCCCAACCAGAACUUACCUUUGGCACCAGCCCGCAUUCAGACAAUGACUCCUUCACAAUCCUUCUCCAAGACAAUUUAGGUGGCCUCCAGGUACUUCAUCAGAAUCAGUGGGUUGAUGUUCCUCCAACACCUGGAGCUUUAGUAAUCAACAUUGGAGAUCUUCUACAGGCAAGCCUUUGAUUUAUUGAUUUUCCAACACUUUUGGAAUGCAUAAACAAUCUUUGUUAUCUGGAG
rnacentral:lncRNA from 1 species